AUUGACCUCGGCUGAACUUAA
rnacentral:rRNA from 1 species